GGGACAGAUGGGAGGUGUGGCACGCUGCUUUUGAUUGAUACACAUUGUCUUAAUAAAGUUUUCUGUUUUUCUUUCUCUUUGCUUCCUACUAUAUACAGAAGUGAAAGUGAAAGUUUGAAGCCUGCCGAGGCCGUGUUAAUGCAGGGGAGAGAAAGCUUUGUGUGGAUUUGUCAGCCUUAUGGAAACGCUUUAAAGUCUGGGGUCGUACGGUGUUAACCCCUCUCUAGCCACACGGCUACCGAGGACUGAUACAUAGCAAGACAUCUCGGUUCUUGGUGCACGU